GCGCUGCCCUCGCCACGCACGCGCUCCCGCCUUGCGAGCGUGUAUGAAACGGGCGGCGCGCACCUGUGCGUAUUUCUGCGGACCAUAUCGGAAUGGAAUUUAGUGUAAAGGGGCUGUGUGCUGAGAAGCACUAAAGCAGGACAUUUCAAAUGUCUCACAGAGCAACAGCCUCCCACUGUCCCUGGCUGACCGCUGGCAGGUUGCCACAGUUGUGAGUCUAUGCCAAGUCCACCAGAACUCUUCU
rnacentral:lncRNA from 1 species